rnacentral:lncRNA from 1 species
AUAAGUCUUUGACUUUUGUGCUUUGUGAUUUUUUUUGAAACACCAUUCUUGUGAUCAAUGUGAGUUUGGUUUCUUCAUCAUUAUUGAAUCAAACGGUUGUUUUAUCAAAUGAGAAACUAUAAAAAAUAUAAUGAAUUACAUAUCAUGUGAGUUUAGUUGAUUCACCAUUAUUGAGUUUGGUUUGGUGUGUUAACGUGAGUUUAGUUGCAAUAUGUGCAUGUUUUUCUUAUUACACAGAUUUCAAAAAUCUUAUGAGAAUAGAUGAUAUUUUCAAAGUCUAGUUUUAUGAGUAAAAACAUAAGGAAUUCACCUCCCAAUAACAAUUGAAUUCAUUAGAAUGAUAAAAUCUAUAAUAACUAAACUUUAUGAAUAACAAAUUAUUUGAAUGGAAUUUAAAAGUCUUUAAACCAAUAACAAUGGAUUAUGAU